GAGUUUGAUCCUGGCUCAGAGCGAACGCUGGCGGCAUGCUUAACACAUGCAAGUCGCACGGUCAGCAAUGGCAGUGGCGGACGGGUGAGUAACACGUAGGAAUCUAUCUCCGGGUGGGGGACAACAGUGGGAAACUACUGCUAAUACCGCAUGAUACCUGAGGGUCAAAGGCGUAAGUCGCCUGGAGAGGAGCCUGCGUCUGAUUAGCUUGUUGGUGGGGUAAAGGCCUACCAAGGCUACGAUCAGUAGCUGGUCUGAGAGGAUGAUCAGCCACAUUGGGACUGAGACACGGCCCAAACUCCUACGGGAGGCAGCAGUGGGGAAUAUUGGACAAUGGGCGAAAGCCUGAUCCAGCAAUGCCGCGUGUGUGAAGAAGGUCUUCGGAUUGUAAAGCACUUUUGGCAGGGACGAUGAUGACGGUACCUGCAGAAUAAGCCCCGGCUAACUUCGUGCCAGCCGCCGCCGU
rnacentral:rRNA from 1 species